rnacentral:rRNA from 1 species
GACGAACGCUGGCGGCGUGCUUAACACAUGCAAGUCGAACGGGCCCGCCCCUGUUUUUGGGGGUGGGUUGAGUGGCGAACGGGUGAGUAUCACGUGAGUAACCUGCCCCCUGCUCCUGGAUAACUGCUUGAAAGGGCGGCUAAUACGGGGUGUGCCGGCUGGUCCGCAUGGGCCUGGUCGGGAUAGUUUCAUCUUCGGGUGUUUUGGUGGGGGAUGGGCUCGCGGCCUAUCAGCUUGUUGGUGGGGUGAUGGCCCACCAAGGCGGUGACGGGUAGCCGGCCUGAGAGGGUGGGCGGCCACACUGGGACUGAGACACGGCCCAGACUCCUGCGGGAGGCAGCAGUGGGGGGUAUUGCACAAUGGGCGGAAGCCUGAUGCAGCGACGUCGCGUGAGGGAUGGAGGCCUUCGGGUUGUGAACCUCUUUCUCCGGUGGUGAAGGCCCUGUCCGUUGCGGCGGGGUUGACGGUAGCCGGGUAUGAAGCGCCGGCUAACUACGUG